rnacentral:lncRNA from 1 species
AUCUGUGAUUAUUUGACAAAUGAUAACAACAUUCCUUCCUCCCCUCUGGUUUCAUUUUAGAUAACCCAGAGAAAGAUCACCUGCGGCGUCCUUGAUCAUGCAGCAGUCCUAGGAUAAUCAGAACCGUGGACAGCACCAUGCAGCUCCGGCUCCUCCCCAUGAGAUGCUCUCCAGCUGAUGGAGAGAUGAAGGCUGAAAGCUCGGAAGGUCAACACAAAGCCUGCGAAUUCCCCUGGGAUCACAUAGCUGCUGUCUGUAACUUUGGGGAAGCUGCUGGCUCUCAUGACCGUGUAUCCUGCAAGUGGCUGUAAAAAUGACAAUUCUCAUGACUUUUGACAAAAGGCGUCCAUCUCCUCCAUGUCUGAGGUUUAGCAUAACACUGUAUUCACAGAAGCACCUGUUCAGGAUCCUCUCAUCUCUUCAACCAGCCCCAAAAGUUGAUAUCAACAAAUACUGAUACUGAGAUUCUUCAUGUCUUUUGAUAAGAAGAUGGUGAGUAUUGUUCAGGGUGAAGACAUGAGCUGCUGGAAUUCCUAAAGUUCUGAAUUUUUGGACUGUAAUAGGUCAGUGAGGUUUGAUGGAACCAGUCUGUGUCUUGUCCUGGUCUGUUGCAAUCAUUCUACAGCAAGAUUCAAAGGAAGUGAGAUAGAGCUGUAUAUGGAGAUCAAAAAAGAGAAAGUUAGUAGUGACA